rnacentral:rRNA from 1 species
AUUAGAGUUUGAUAGUGGCUCAGAUUGAACGCUGGCGGCAGGCCUAACACAUGCAAGUCGAACGGUAACAGGAAACAGCUUGCUGUUUCGCUGACGAGUGGCGGACGGGUGAGUAAUGUCUGGGAAACUGCCUGAUGGAGGGGGAUAACUACUGGAAACGGUAGCUAAUACCGCAUAACGUCGCAAGACCAAAGAGGGGGACCUUCGGGCCUCUUGCCAUCGGAUGUGCCCAGAUGGGAUUAGCUAGUAGGUGGGGUAACGGCUCACCUAGGCGACGAUCCCUAGCUGGUCUGAGAGGAUGACCAGCCACACUGGAACUGAGACACGGUCCAGACUCCUACGGGAGGCAGCAGUGGGGAAUAUUGCACAAUGGGCGCAAGCCUGAUGCAGCCAUGCCGCGUGUAUGAAGAAGGCCUUCGGGUUGUAAAGUACUUUCAGCGGGGAGGAAGGGAGUAAAGUUAAUACCUUUGCUCAUUGACGUUACCCGCAGAAGAAGCACCGGCUAACUCCGUGCCAGCAGCCGCGGUAAUACGGAGGGUGCAAGCGUUAAUCGGAAUUACUGGGCGUAAAGCGCACGCAGGGCGGUUUGUUAAAGUCAGAUGUGAAAUCCCCGGGCUCAACCUGGGAACUGCAUCUGAUACUGGCAAGCUUGAGUCUCGUAGAGGGGGGGUAGAAUUCCAGGUGUAGCGGUGAAAUGCGUAGAGAUCUGGAGGAAUACCGGUGGCGAAGGCGGCCCCCUGGACGAAGACUGACGCUCAGGUGCGAAAGCGUGGGGAGCAAACAGGAUUAGAUACCCUGGUAGUCCACGCCGUAAACGAUGUCGACUUGGAGGUUGUGCCCUUGAGGCGUGGCUUCCGGAGCUAACGCGUUAAGUCGACCGCCUGGGGAGUACGGCCGCAAGGUUAAAACUCAAAUGAAUUGACGGGGGCCCGCACAAGCGGUGGAGCAUGUGGUUUAAUUCGAUGCAACGCGAAGAACCUUACCUGGUCUUGACAUCCACAGAACUUUCCAGAGAUGGAUUGGUGCCUUCGGGAACUGUGAGACAGGUGCUGCAUGGCUGUCGUCAGCUCGUGUUGUGAAAUGUUGGGUUAAGUCCCGCAACGAGCGCAACCCUUAUCCUUUGUUGCCAGCGGUCCGGCCGGGAACUCAAAGGAGACUGCCAGUGAUAAACUGGAGGAAGGUGGGGAUGACGUCAAGUCAUCAUGGCCCUUACGACCAGGGCUACACACGUGCUACAAUGGCGCAUACAAAGAGAAGCGACCUCGCGAGAGCAAGCGGACCUCAUAAAGUGCGUCGUAGUCCGGAUUGGAGUCUGCAACUCGACUCCAUGAAGUCGGAAUCGCUAGUAAUCGUGGAUCAGAAUGCCACGGUGAAUACGUUCCCGGGCCUUGUACACACCGCCCGUCACACCAUGGGAGUGGGUUGCAAAAGAAGUAGGUAGCUUAACCUUCGGGAGGGCGCUUACCACUUUGUGAUUCAUGACUGGGGUGAAGUCGUAACAAGGUAACAGUAGGGGAACCUGCGGUUGGAUCACCUCCAAU